rnacentral:misc_RNA from 1 species
GUUUUACAAUUGGUUAAUCAAAGGCAUUCAAAUAUGACAUGGUGUGUGUAAAAAAUGCAUAGGCAAACAUGCCUACAGAAAGUGCACAGGUGGAUAUUGGGUUUUUAAGAGUGCACAUACCUGUAAAGGCCAGCACAUCUUUAAAAAUCAAUAAUGAUCCUUCCGCAGGUUCACCUACGGAAA